CAGUCGCCACGGGAAUACGGAGGGUGCAAGCGUUAAUCGGAAUUACUGGGCGUAAAGCGCACGCAGGCGGUCUGACAAGUCAGAUGUGAAAUCCCCGGGCUUAACCUGGGAACUGCAUUUGAAACUGUCAGGCUGGAGUCUUGUAGAGGGGGGUGGAAUUCCAGGUGUAGCGGUGAAAUGCGUAGAGAUCUGGAGGAAUACCGGUGGCGAAGGCGGCCCCCUGGACAAAGACUGACGCUCAGGUGCGAAAGCGUGGGGAGCAAACAGGAUUAGAUACCCGCGUAGUCCCUGUCUCUUAUAA
rnacentral:rRNA from 1 species